rnacentral:lncRNA from 1 species
GUAACGCCCCGGGUUUUCUCGGUACGUUUGGUUAUUUUAAUUUAAUUAUCCUUGUAACCUUGGGUUAAUUUAUUUAACCAAUGUCUAAUUUCUUAUGUUAUUGGACUCUUUUGAUCAUCUUGUAAACUCCUUUUAUUGAAGUCCAUGGGCUAUGGGCCUAUUUGCAAAGUCCAUCUAGUUAAUAGUACUUAAUGUGUAAAUUGAAUCAUUUGGAACACACACAAGGAAAACACUCUAAACCCUCCCUCUCUCUCUCAAAAAUCGUCCCUCUCUCUCUCUUUGGGAUCAAGAGCAGCCAAGGGGCUGUUUGGAGCUUAAUUCUUGUUCAUUUCCAGCCUUGAUUCGUAUUGGUAUGAACCUCCUUAUCCUUUCUUACAACUUGAUUCAUAACCUUGUUCUAGUUUUAUGAUUUCAUCUUCACCUCUUCUCCUUCUUAUUUUAUUUUUAAUUGUAUGUUAUACAUCAUCUCAAGAUCCUAUCUUCACCCCAUAUAUGGUGGAUGAUGGAUCUAGGGGAUUACAUGUGGCAAAAGAUCAUGGAAACCCUAAAAGGGAGAAUGAUGAUUUUAUGUGCUUAUGUUUAUUUUCAUGUUGAUUAUUAUUACAUCCUUGUGGCUAAAUGAAAUCCUAAUGAUCCCUAACCCUUUUUAGUACCACCAUUAUCAUGGGGACUGAAUUGGGAUGAUGAACACAUCUUAAAAUGUGUUUCAAAAGGAGAAGGAUGGAUAAGCCAAAAAGGAAUCACGGGUGGCUACGAUUCUGUUUUCCAUCAGAUCUGUAGUCAUUUUGUAAAAAUCAUAUCUGGAGCUCUAGAACUCAAACGGACCCCAAACCAGUUCCAAAAGUUCACAAAUUGAGUUGGCUAACUUUCUUAAGAAGGCCAACCUCACUGAUAAGGGCUUUAUCUAUGUGAAAGAAUGGCAUCUUUGCUGUUAGGUCUGAUCCGGGUCUGUUCUGAUAUGUCAUUUUGUUUUCAUCAUUUCUAAGGCUUGGAAAAGGAUCCAGAGUGAUUCCAAGUUUCUAUAUGUUCCUUAUAUUAUGAAUUUAAGAUCUGGAGAAUAUGGGGUGUUAUUUCCAAUUAUAAAUUGGUUAGAAUGGAUCCACACUCCAGGUCAGUGGGCAGUCACCAGCUUUUGCUAGUGCUGUGAUUGUCCACAAUGUGAAUUUUAUAUCUGGAGUUUGAGAGAUGCUUUUCAUUCAAUUCCAACUCUGAGACUUUCACUUGUAUGUCCUUUACUUCUCUUAAUUUUCUUUUGGACGAAUUCUACUCACAAGUUGGGUAGAAUUGGCCAACAUCACUUGACUGUAUUGUUGGAGACAGAAGUGAUACACCAUUUUGUAAAAUUCAUAUUUAAUUCAUCUUUUGGAGUUAGAAUGAGUUCUUUAUAGUUGUGGAAUCCUGAGCAAUCAUAGUUUCCUAUAAAAUUUAGUUAAAGCUAUGUUUCUGUUUUAGAUUUUGGAGUAAAUCCGUUUUGAACAGCAGGUCUGUUUUAGAGACCUUGCUGUGAUUACUCUUUUCUCAACUCAUAGCUUCAUUACUUCUCCUUUCUAACCUUUAGUCCUUCUUAGGUGAGGUUUUGAAGUUUGCUCAAGCUUGGUAGCAUUAUUUGAUUGUUAGCCAUCCUUAAUACUCACUCAAGGUGAGUUCUCUCACACCGUUGUAUUGAUGAUUGUGUUUGCUAGUUAGCUCGUGUGUGAUUAUUUGAAUUUAUUAUAAAAGCAUGCUAUAUAAGUAUUGUUUUAAUUCGUACAUGUGCACUGUAUGUAACUAAUUAUGGAUAUGGGGACACCACCAAAGGAUACGGAUUUACCGGUGCGGUGGGUAGGUAAGAUCACCAACGUAAUACUCUUCGUGAGGUGCGGUGAUUAGGGCCAAAUGAUACGGGAUCUUCCCGGUGCGGUUCAAACCUACAAGUCCUUCUCGUAAUAUAGACAUUGAUUCGUUCUUUGCCUUUAUCAUUAUAAUUGGAAAAUGGAUUAGGGCUAGUAAAUAUGAAUGUUAGUACAAUGUCUGUGUUUGAAUUCACUAAGCUUCGUGCUUACGUUUUUCCCUUAUAACUUUUCAGGUGUUAAGAUUAAAGAGGCUAAGGCUUGACAUGGAGCAUCGGGACAUCGCUACUAGUUAUUUUGUUGGGACCUUAUUAUUAUUAUUACUUCCGCACUUAUUUUAUAUGAUUAUUAAGUUGAUGGAUUAUGUUAUGACUAUUUCAGUUGUUUUAAUUUAAUUUAAGAUGGGUUUUAAAAGUUUAAAAUUUUUGAAAAAAAAAUUGGGUGUCACAAGUUGGUAUCAGAGCCACAGUUUGAGGGAACUAGGCAUUCUUGUGGAUGUUCUAGACUCAAAUUUGAGGCUCUAUAAGAGUUUAUUUUCUUUUUAAAAUAUUUUUCAAACUUUCUGAAGACUAGUAGUGAAAGAUGUCGCGGUGUACCAGUCAGCCAGCCAAGUAAGCCUUAUUUCUUAUGUUAAAUGUUUAUGUUAAAUUGUUGACUAUGAAUUGGAUUCUACUAGCCUUAAAAUAUUAGAUUACACACUUAGUUAGUGUUAACAUGUGAGAGAGUUGUAAAAUUAACGGCUAGAGCGAACUGGAAAUUUUGAAACUAGACGCGAAUGCGAAAUUGGAACUUGUGUGGAAGGUAGUAGAAGGGCCCCUACUAUUUGAAACAUCGGUGCCGGUUUCGAGUCGGGGCAAGGUUGAAAAAUUUUCGGCAAGCUGAGUGUUUUGUCUUCCUAGAAAUAUCUAGGCUGAAUUGUUUCUAAGAUUUUCCUUCUUCUGUGGAUACCAAUGGCUCUGCCUGCUCGACUUAAUCAGCUCCAAAUGGAGCAAGUUAGGGAUAUUGUCGCUGAGGAAUUCAAUAACGGUUUCAACGAACUAAUCCCGGGUGUGACCAACGACAUAAUCAACCAAUUCGGUGCUCUUCUGGAUGAGCGCCUCGCGGCUAUUCCCGGGGAAGCGUUACUGUCUCUGCCUGUUCAGGAUUCGGCAUACUACUUCGAGAAGUUCAACAAGUGUAGCUCUCCUCUUUGGAAUGGUGAAUCCGACCCAGUUGCUACUAAGCCCUGGGUGUCAGAUGUUGAGGGCGCCUUCAUAAGUGUUGGGUGUCCGGACUAGUACAAAGCAGUGAUCGCCAUGAAUCAGCUGUGAAAAAGGGGAAAGACAUAGUGGAACACCAUCACCGCUCUAUUGAACGAAGACUAAGUGAGGGCCAUGUCUUGGGCCCAAUUUGUGGAGAGGUUCGAGGCACAAUAUGUGCCUAAGGUGGAGCAGCAGCGGAUGCAGCAAGAGUUCAUGGCCUUACAGCAGACUACCGAAUCCGUUAGUGACCUGAACGCCAAGUUCUUGGAGAUGCUAUCUUUUUGCCCCUCGUUUGCUGGGAACGAGGCCUGGUUAGUCAGCCGGUACACGGCCAUCCUACGUAUCGAGAUUCGGGAAUUCGUUAGCAUGCAGGAGUUCUCGACUUUAUCUGCGAUCAUGAAUGUAGCGAGGAGGAGGGAAAUCGAGUUGCAGACCCAGUCCAAGAGGAAGGCCAAUGACACCUCUUCCAAGACAUCCAGAGAUGCCCAGAAAACGCAAAAGCAGGGUAGUAAGUCAAGGUAUGAGUAUAGGACGUCUUCAGGGCGAGAAAAAUAUGUUGAUAUGCUACAACUGCAAAAAGCCAGGGCAUCAUUGGAAGAAUUGUAGGGAUCCCCCUGCGAGUGCAGUACCUCAUAUUACUUCUGCAGUUCCCGUCUGCUAUCACUGCAACGAGACGGGACACAAGAAGCCUGAAUGCCCGAAGUUGAAGACUGGUAAAGGAGACAGGGGUACAAAUCCUGCAAUUGCAUCAUCCUCUAAGGGAACCACUAUGGUGACACGAGGUCGUGCUCACCAGAUGACUGUGGAGGAGCCGGUGAUUACAACGACACUGGCAGACACUUAUUUGCUAGAUUCCAAGCCCGAUGUUGUUAUGUUUGAUAGCGGUGCUACCCAUUCUUUUGUAUCUCACACGUUUAUUAAUCGUUUGGGGCGUAGUAUCGGAAAAUUGGCUCACCCAAUGGUUGUCGAUGUUGUCGACAACCGCACUAUUUAUGUCACCGAUGUCUAUCGGGGUUGCACUCUCGAGUUUUCUGGAGUUGAAUUCCCUAUUGAUCUUAUCCCUAUUGCGAUGCGAGAGCUCUGCGUUAUCGUAGGCAUGGAUUGGCUUGAUGCGUUUGAUGCGGAAAUCCACUGUCGUAAGAAGCAAGUUCGUGUUCGAAACCCUAGAGGUGGAGAACUUAUUAUUCAGGGGGACAUUCCCCGCCUGGCUAUGGCUUCUUGCUCUUCUGCUAUAGCACUAGACGACGUUCCUAUCGUUUCCGACUUCAGCGAUGUCUUUCCGGAGGAACUCCCUGGCUUGCCACCUGUUCGGCAAGUGGAGUUUCGCAUUGAUUUGGUGCCAGGUGCGACUCCGGUAGCGAAAUCUCCUUACCGCUUGGCACCACCUGAAAUGAAAGAGCUCCAAGAUCAACUUCAAGAACUAAGUGAUAAAGGGUUUAUACGGCCAAGCUGCUCGCCUUGGGGUGCUCCUAUUCUCUUUGUGAAGAAGAAAGAUGGAUCCCAGCGAAUGUGUAUUGAUUAUAGGGAGCUAAACAAGCGCACGAUAAAGAAUAGGUACCCGUUGGCACGUAUUGACGAUCUUUUCGAUCAGCUUCAGGGAGCAUCUUGGUUUUCCAAGAUUGAUUUACGUUACGGUUACCAUCAGAUGCGGGUUCGUGAAGAAGACAUUGAGAAAACAGCAUUCCGUACUCACCCUCUAACAUUGAGAAAACGGUAUUAAGGUCGAUCAAGCCAAGGUUAAUGCGGUUAAACAAUGGAAGAUUCCAAAAACACCUUCUGAAAUUCGCAGUUUCUUGGGUUUAGCCGGUUAUUACCGGAGGUUCAUUGAAAAUUUCUCUAAAAUCGCCUUACCACUCACCCGAUUGACCAAGAAAUCAAUGAAAUUCGUUUGGGGCCCGGAGCAGCAACUGGCGUUUGAUGAGUUAAGGAAACGAUUGUGUGAAGCUCCGAUUUUGGCCUUACCUGAUGGGGUUGAGGAUAUGGUGGUUUACUGUGAUGCAUCGCUUCAAGGUCUUGGUGCCGUGUUAAUGCAACGAGAUAGGGUGAUAGCCUAUGCCUCCCGACAGCUGAAACCCCACGAACGAAACUACCCCACUCAUGAUUUGGAGCUUGGGGCUGUUGUUUUCGCUCUUAAGAUUUGGAGACACUAUCUCUAUGGAGUGAAGUUUAUCAUAUACACUGACCAUAAGAGUCUAAAAUAUUUGUUCGAGCAGCGGGAUUUGAAUAUGAGGCAGAUCCGAUGGUUGGAUGUGGUAAAAGAUUAUGAUUGUGAAAUUCACUACCACCCCGGUAAAGCUAAUGUGGUAGCUGAUGCUCUCAGUCGUAAACAAUCUGCCGAACCGAUUCGAGCUAAGUGUCUCCGGAUCACGAUGGUGUCGUCUUUGUUAGAUCUAAUCCGGGACGCCCAAAAGACGGCAAUACUGGAGGAAAACAUCAGGCGUGAGAAGAUUGGGAAAGAGUUGCCUAAGAUGGAACGAGACGGGCGGGGUUUGCUGACUCGCUACGGUAGGAUUUGGGUUCCAUAUACCGGGGGAAAUCGGAAAACCCUAAUGGAUGAGUCUCAUAAGUCAAAAUUUUCUAUCCAUCCUGGUGCUACUAAAAUGUAUCGGGACCUUCAUGAGGCUUACUGGUGGCAUGGAAUGAAGAAUGAUGUGGCUCGAUUUGUGGAAGAAUGUAUGACCUGUCGGAAGGUCAAGGCGGAACACCAGAAACCGCAUGGGAAGUUGCAACCAUUGGAGAUUCCUGAAUGGAAAUGGGAGCAUCUAACCAUGGACUUCAUUACAAAACUUCCUAGAACUGCCCGAGGAUCAGAUACGAUAUGGGUGAUUGUUGAUCGUUUGACUAAGAGUGCUCACUUUCUGGCUAUAAAGGAGAGCUCAUCGGCGGAGAAAUUAGCCGAGAUCUUUGUUCGGGAGAUUGUCUCAUUACAUGGGGUGCCCGUUUCUAUCAUCUCCGAUCGAGACACCCGAUUUACCUCUCGGUUCUGGAGGAAGUUUCAAGAGGAAUUGGGCACACGAUUACAUUUUAGUACCGCCUUCCAUCCGCAGACAGACGGGCAGAGUGAGCGGACGAUUCAGACCUUGGAGGACAUGCUUAGGGCGUGUGCGAUUGAUUUUGGGGGUAGUUGGGAUGACCAUCUACAUCUAGCUGAGUUUUCUUAUAACAACAGCUAUCACUCGAGCAUUAAAAUGCCUCCGUAUGAAGCCUUGUACGGGAGGAAGUGCAGGACGCCCGUUUGUUGGGGCGAGGUUGGGCAGAGGGUACUUGGGAGUACCGAUAUCGUGCUACAGACUACGGAGAAAAUCCAAGUGAUUCGGGAUCAUUUGGUCACAGCGAGCAGUCGUCAGAAAAGUUAUGCCGACAAAAGACGCUCCAAUCUUGAGUUCCAGGUGGGAGAUUAUGUGUUGCUUAAAGUCUCCCCCUGGAAAGGUGUGAUUCGAUUUCGGAAGCGGGGAAAGCUCGGACCCCGAUUCAUUGGACCCUACAAGGUCAUAGCUCGUGUGGGGAAGGUGGCUUACCGUUUAGAGCUUCCUGACGAGCUUAGUCUAAUUCAUAAUACGUUCCACGUGUCUCAGUUACGAAAAUGCGUUGUUGAUGAGACCGCUGUGAUACCACUGGAGGACAUACAAAUUGACGAGCGUCUCAAUUAUGUUGAGAAACCAAUCGCUAUUUUAGAACGAAAGACGAAAGCUCUCCGCAACAAGACUAUAAACCUGGUUAAGGUGCAGUGGCAACAUAGGAAGGGUUCGGAAUGGACUUGGGAACCGGAAUGCGAGAUGCGGGCUCAUUAUCCGGAUCUGUUUCUAGGUGUUGACUUCGAGGACGAAGUCCGUUCUUAGUGGGGGAGAGUUGUAACGCCCCGGGUUUUCUCGGUACGUUUGGUUAUUUUAAUUUAAUUAUCCUUGUAACCUUGGGUUAAUUUAUUUAACCAAUGUCUGAUUUCUUAUGUUAUUGGACUCUUUUGAUCAUCUUGUAAACUCCUUUUAUUGAAGUCCAUGGGCUAUGGGCCUAUUUGCAAAGUCCAUCUAGUUAAUAGUACUUAAUGUGUAAAUUGAAUCAUUUGGAACACACACAAGGAAAACACUCUAAACCCUCCCUCUCUCUCAAAAAUCGUCCCUCUCUCUCUCUUUGGGAUCAAGAGCAGCCAAGGGGCUGUUUGGAGCUUAAUUCUUGUUCAUUUCCAGCCUUGAUUCGUAUUGGUAUGAACCUCCUUAUCCUUUCUUACAACUUGAUUCAUAACCUUGUUCUAGUUUUAUGAUUUCA